AUGGUAUUAUGUCUGCCAUGGACAAGGCUCCCUCCAAAUACAGCCUGAAAAGCAAGAAGAAUUGCCUGGGCCGUGGAGAGCGUCAAGGAAACGCAGUGGCUCUGCACCUGGUCAGCAAGCUGCUGAAAGACUAUUCAUGACCCAUGGCCAGGCUGCCCAGAGACCUGAUAAAAACAGGGUAUCGGAAUGCGUUUCCCUGAGGCUCUGGAAGGAGUACGAGCUGGCAAGGAACAGGCCAAAAGACUGCAAGGGGAAAACCUUGCCAGUUGCGCAGUCAAUGGUGAAGACAUACUGCCACAUAAAACAGCUGCUCGAAGACAGCCUGGUGAUACAGGACAAGACCAACUUGGUCCUGGUUACUAUAAACAACACCACAGUGUCUUCUUGGCUGCAUGAGAGGCAGAAAAGGACAGGUCGGGACUCAUUGCUCCAAGGAGUACAGCUUCCCCAGAAGGUCUCUGCAGCAAAAGAUUUUCUGCCAAAACCCAGAGAGCUCCCUUCUGCCCCUGUGGAACAUCGACAUGUCAUCAUGGAAUUCCCGGAGCCUGAAAAUCGUGAGGGCGAGGCAGUGAUACGCCGGCGCCACAGUGUCCGAACUGGCUCAGCACAGCAUUGUCCUCCUGAGUGGUACAAUGCAUGGCCUGGUUCUCCUGCCUCAUCCUUGUAUGCGCAGGCUCAUCAUCCACCAGCCCCAUCUCCUGCCUCAUGGCCGUACCAUAUGCCAGCAGCCCCAUCUCCUACCUCAUCCUCGUACACGCAGGUUCUUCUUCCACCAGCCCCAUCUCUUGCCUCAUCCUCGUACACGCAGGGUCUUCUUCCACCAGCCCCACCUCUUGCCUCAUCCUCUUACACGCAGGAUCUUCUUCCACCAGCCCCAUCUCCUGCCUCAUGGCCGUACCAUAUGCCAGC